AGAGUUUGAUCCUGGCUCAGGAUGAACGCUGGCGGCGUGCCUAAUACAUGCAAGUCGAACGAGGUGCUUUUGUAGCAAUACGGAAGUAUCCUAGUGGCGAACGGGUGAGUAACGCGUGGGUGACCUGCCCCAAAGUGUGGGAUAACAGUCCGAAAGGAUUGCUAAUACCUCAUGUGGUCUUCGGGUUUAGAAACCGAUGACUAAAGGAGUAAUCCGCUUUGGGAGGGACCUGCGUCCCAUCAGCUAGUUGGUGAGGUAAUGGCUCACCAAGGCUACGACGGGUAGGGGACCUGAGAGGGUGGCCCCCCACAAUGGAACUGAAACACGGUCCAUACACCUACGGGUGGCAGCAGUAGGGAAUAUUGCACAAUGGGCGAAAGCCUGAUGCAGCAACGCCGCGUGAGCGAUGAAGGCCUUCGGGUCGUAAAGCUCUUUUCUGAGAGAUGAGCAAGGACAGUAUCUCAGGAAUAAGUCUCGGCUAACUACGUGCCAGCAGCCGCGGUAAAACGUAGGAGGCGAGCGUUAUCCGGAUUCACUGGGCGUAAAGCGCGUGCAGGCGGUUCGGUAAGUUGGGCGUGAAAUCUCCUGGCUUAACUAGGAGAGGUCGUUCAAUACUACCGGACUUGAGAGUGGUAGAGGAAGAUGGAAUUCCCGGUGUAGUGGUGAAAUGCGUAGAUAUCGGGAGGAACACCAGUGGCGAAAGCGAUCUUCUGGACCAUUUCUGACGCUCAGACGCGAAAGCUAGGGUAGUAAACGGGAUUAGAGACCCCGGUAAUCCUAGCCGUAAACGAUGUAAACUUGGCGUCGGUGGCUUAAACACCAUCGGUGCCGCAGCUAACGCGAUAAGUUUACCGCCUGGGGACUACGAUCGCAAGAUUAAAACUCAAAGGAAUUGACGG
rnacentral:rRNA from 1 species